GAAACCCAGUGUGACUCGUCACACUAUCAUUAACUGAAUCCAUAGGUUAAUGAGGCGAACCGGGGGAACUGAAACAUCUAAGUACCCCGAGGAAAAGAAAUCAACCGAGAUUCCCCCAGUAGCGGCGAGCGAACGGGGAGGAGCCCAGAGCCUGAAUCAGCAUGUGUGUUAGUGGAAGCGUCUGGAAAGGCGCGCGAUACAGGGUGACAGCCCCGUACACAAAAGCGCAUGUGCUGUGAGCUCGAUGAGUAGGGCGGGACACGUGGUAUCCUGUCUGAAUAUGGGGGGACCAUCCUCCAAGGCUAAAUACUCCUGACUGACCGAUAGUGAACCAGUACCGUGAGGGAAAGGCGAAAAGAACCCCGG
rnacentral:rRNA from 1 species